AACUGGGCCCGGUCCAUUGACCGGCCCAGCCCAAAUUUUGGCCUCACGUGCGUCGCACGUGAGGGCGUGUAAGAGGGGGGGGAGCCAUCCCGAAGAAGCCGGCUCCCCCAGUCUUUUUAGGGCUUCUCCUCUCUUUGAAGGGGGCGGAAGAGGAGCCGCUGCCGCCCGAGAGGGAGAGAGAGGGAGCCGAGAAGCCACAGCGCGGACGAUCCUUUUCCUCCUCCGUUUGCCGCCGGAAAGAAGCCGCCGGAUCUUCGCCGGGGCUGAGGUAAGAUUUCUAGCUUCACCUCUUGGUUAUACCAUUUGAAAAGAAGAAGAAGAAGAAGAAGAAGAAGAGAGAGAAGGAAAAGGAGGGGGAGGCACCCGUGGCAAUCGGCUUGCCUUCGGCCACAGGCGCCGCCGGCCCUCAGUGACGGCCACUUUGAGGACCGGAGAGCACCACUUUCCCUUGUUCCUCUUCUCUGUUCAGUGAAAACAGAGAAGGAAUAGUGGAAGGAGAAAGAGAGAAAGAAAGAAAGAAAGAAAGGAGAAGAGAGGGAAGAAGGAGAAGGUGUGGGUUUCUCCCAUGCCCAUACCUCCUCCACGGGAAGAAGGAGAGAGCCGGCCGCUGUGGCCGCCGCCGGCCUUGACUUGGCCACUCCCGAGCUCGCCGACCUCCCUUCGCGGGAGAAGAAAGAAGAAGAAAGAAAGGGGGGAGGAGAAGAAGUCGGGAGAAGAGGAAGAGGAGAAAGAAAAAGAAAGAAGAAAAGAAAGGGGGAAGGAAGAAGGAAGUCGGGAGAAGAUUCCAGAGAAGAAGAGAAGAGAAGAAAAGAAAAAAAAGAAAAAAAAAAGAAAAGGGGAGGGAAGGAAAGAAAAGAAAAAGAAAAGAAAGAAAAAGAAAAGAAAUAAAGAAACAAAAAAUAAAUAAAUAAAUAAAUAAAGGGAGAGAGUGGUUUACGGGUAUGAACCCGAAUACAAACCCAAACUCGGGAUGUCGGACACUUCCGCGUGUUCGGCCCUGGGAGGAUGUUAAGAUUUGAGUUUUAUACGUAUAUUGUGAUGAAUUUUAAAAGAAAAAUAUGAUUUUUGGAUAUUAGGUUCUGCGAGGAAUUUGUGAAAUUAAUUGGAUUUGUUGUNNNNNNNNNNNNNNNNNNNNNNNNNNNNNNNNNNNNNNNNNNNNNNNNNNNNNNUAUUAUUUUUACAUCGAAUAAAUUGUUAAUGAAUUUAUAUGUGAUUUAUGAAUUUUACAAGAUGAUGAUUUGAAUGAAAAAUGGAUAUGUGAAUUGAAAUAACAUUUUUCGGAUAUAAUUACUGUUCUUGCAUCGUAUAUGCAUAUUUAGAUCGGAUUAUGAUAUAUCUAUUUGCUACAAAAGAAUUUUGAUGUGCAUCAGAUUUAGAACUCUCAGCCUGGCUAUGUUCUGGACCCUACCAAUAGGGGGUUAUGCAUUGGCAAUUCUGGCCCCACCACAGGGUAUAAGUGUGGUAUUCUGGCCCACACUGCAGGGUAUAAGUGCGGUAUUCUGGCCCACUCCGCAGAGUAUAAGUGCGGUUCUGUUUCUGGCCUAGCCACAGGGUAUAAGUGUGGUCGUAGCUAAAGGCUGAUGAGAUGAAUGUGAUUUGUUUCGAAUCAGAUUUAUGAUUAUGUAUAUGGAUAUUUGAAAAAUACGAAUUUUAAUGAAUUUGUGCUUGAAAAGGAAUUGAUUAUGUUAUUAUGUUGAUUUAUCGUAAUUUGUAUUUAUAUUUUAUGUUAUUAUAUGAAUUGACUAGGUAAGGUGUUUAUUACUUACUGGGCUGUCUAGCUCAUUAUACGAUUUCUUACUGUUUUUACAGAUCCGAAGAAUUAGCUCGAUCCGGGGUUUUACAAUAUGGGAGUGCGAAUAAAAGAAUUAUGGCUCAAGUUAUCUUAGAUUACGUUUUAUUUAAUUUAAUGUUCCAUCUUUAUUGUUCCGCUGCGUAUUUAGAAUUGUGAGACUUUAUAAUUUAUGUCAGUCAAUGGAAUAAGAUUGCAUUUAUUUCAGUUGAAUUAAUUUAGAAUUACAUAAUUGAGGUGUUUUGGUUUAGAUGCCUUGCAUGCUCGUGGGGAGAGUUUCCUACGGGUGUGCGGCGGUUGGCGCGGACCCCCGGCUCGCGAUCUCGGGCCGGGGGCGUGACAAAUACCCAUGUAAUUAAUAUAUAUUUUCAAGCAUGGCAACUAUCAAAGCAAGGGAAAAUAUGAAAGUGUAGUGUGCAUAAAAUAGUAUGACUUUUUCAGAGUACUAAUACCUCCACCACAACAUGGUACC
rnacentral:lncRNA from 1 species